UUCACUAUAGGUCCCGCUGUUGCCGCAAAAAUUAGGAUGAAGGUUCCCACAAAUUCUGCCCCCAGCUGCAUGAUAUAAUAUAAUAUAAUAUAAUAUAAAUCCAUACAUCAUUCUAACUUGUACUACUCAAAUGUAUAAACCAGCUCCAUGUAGGAAGGUAAUUAUAACCAAUUUGUCUCAGUAUAAAAUAUAUUUUUUGUUUGAUAAAUUUUCUUAAAAAUUGUUUUCAGAGAGAAGCAAUUUCUUUAUUUAACUAUAUUAUCACUUAAUCAUAAACAGUAUUAAAGCUUUUAUUUAAUUUUAAAAAUCAUUAUUAAAAUAAAAUUUAGAUAUUAAUAAUUUACUUUAUAUAUGUUAUUAAAUAUAAAUACGCAUGUCUAAUAAUAUUUUUAUUUGGGAAUGAACUCAUUACUCUGGAAGUCAAAUUCAUAAAAAUAGUUUAUAUAAAUAUAAAAAUCAUUUUCACCGAAACAAAACGCAUCUUAUAGAAUAAUGGAAGUCAGCAAAAAUGAAGGUUUUCGCUCAAGUGGCCCCAUGCUUCGGCGUUUAAAUAAUGCAACUAAACGCUAGACAGCUAUUUGACGUAAUAAUCUCUUCAAUUAUAUUACCAUUUCAAUUUAAUAAUAAUUAAAAAAACUCUCAAGUGAAGUGAGAAAGAGAGGGCGGUGGCGCACCUUUCGGGUAAGGGAUACGUCAGGUGCAGGGAAGUCGGUGAAGCAUGUGUGAGGUUGACCCCACGUUGGGGCAGUCACCGGAAAGCAUUUGCAUCGAGGCAUUGACUUCCGAUCAUAUGACAGUGAAUCCACCCUCAUGGAAUUGAACAGCGGUCCACCUGGCGUUCCCGGAGUUGCCGGUGCCGAUGCCGUUGGGGUUGCAGUCUCCUCGUCGGGCAUUUUUUUUCUUCUUCAGUAAAACAAUCUUU
rnacentral:lncRNA from 1 species